GCAUGGAAAUGGAUUUAUGGUAGGCCCUUCUUUGUGGGCUUCUCAUAGUGUACCCAUGCGAGAGUAAGGUGUAGCCUCGAACCAUUGCCCAGCCCCUCACCCGUGGACUGUGAGCACUGAAAGGGGCUGUACAUUU